GACGAACGCUGGCGGCGUGCUUAACACAUGCAAGUCGAACGAAGUGGCGAACGGGUGAGUAACGCGUAAUCAACCUGCCCUUCAGAGGGGGACAACAGUUGGAAACGACUGCUAAUACCGCAUACUGAAGGAGGGGAAUGCGUCUGAUUAGCUAGUUGGAGGGGUAACGGCCUACCAAGGAGAUUAUCAGUCGCCGGUCUGAGAGGAUGAACGGGCACAUUGGGACUGAGACACGGCCCAGACUCCUACGGGAGGCAGCAGUGGGGAAUCUUCCGCAAUGGACGGAAGUCUGACGGCGCAACGCCGCGUGAGUGAUGACGGCCUUCGGGUUGUAAAGCUCUGUUAAUCGGGACGCGGUACCGGAAUAGAAAGCCACGGCUAACUACGUGCCAGCAGCCGCGGUAAUUC
rnacentral:rRNA from 1 species